UACGUAGGGGGCAAGCGUUAUCCGGAUUUACUGGGUGUAAAGGGAGCGUAGACGGAAUUGCAAGUCUGAUGUGAAAAUCCGGGGCCCAACCCCGGAACUGCAUUGGAAACUGUAUUUCUAGAGUGUUGGAGAGGCAAGUGGAAUUCCUGGUGUAGCGGUGAAAUGCGUAGAUAUCAGGAGGAACACCAGUGGCGAAGGCGGCUUGCUGGACGAUGACUGACGUUGAGGCUCGAAAGCGUGGGGAGCAAACAGG
rnacentral:rRNA from 1 species